rnacentral:rRNA from 1 species
CUCAGGCGAGAUUACCCGCUGAACUUAAGCAUAUUGCUAAGCGGUGGAAAAGAAACCAAACUGGAUUCCCUGAGUAGCGGCGAGCGAAACGGGAUCAGCUCAGCGCCGAAGCUUUCAGCGCGUCGCGCACUGAACGCGGUGUGGUGCUUGUUCUCGGCGGUCGUGGCCAUUGGCAGGCCGUCGUAGGCUCCCUUGAUUGGGACGUCAAAGCGGGCGCAAGACCCAUGACGACGGUUGCCGCGGCCAAUGCUUUGCCGAGAAGUCGAGUCGGGCUGUUUGAGAGUACAACCCAAAGCGGAUGGUAUAUCCCAUCUAAGGCUGAAUACGACUACGAGACCGAUAGCGAACAAGUACCGCGAGGGAAAGUUGAAAAUAACUCUGAAGAGAGAGUUAAAAAGGACGUGAAACCGUUCAAAAGAAAACCGACGG